rnacentral:rRNA from 1 species
AGUGAACGCUGGCGGUAGGCCUAACACAUGCAAGUCGAACGGCAGCACAGUAAGAGCUUGCUCUUACGGGUGGCGAGUGGCGGACGGGUGAGGAAUACAUCGGAAUCUACUUUUUCGUGGGGGAUAACGUAUGGAAACUUACGCUAAUACCGCAUACGACCUACGGGUGAAAGCAGGGGAUCUUCGGACCUUGCGCGAUUGAAUGACCUGUUGUCGGAUUAGCUAGUUGGCGGGGUAAAGGCCCACCAAGGCGACGAUCCGUAGCUGGUCUGAGAGGAUGAUCAGCCACACUGGGACUGAGACACGGUCCAGACUCCUACGGGAGGCAGCAGUGGGGAAUAGUGGACGAUGGGCGCAAUCCUGAUCCAGCCAUACCGCGUGGGUGAAGAAGGCCUGCGGGUUGUAAAGCCCUUUUGUUGUGAAAGAAAAGCAGCAGGUUAAUACCCCGCUGUUCUGACGGUACCCAAAGAAUAAGCACCGGCUAACUUCGUG